AACUGCACGUGGGCGCACAACCCGCAGCGCGGCUGGCGCGGCGAGAACCUGUUCACCAGCACCGGCAUGGAGCUGAACCUGCCGCUGGCCGUGGAGGAGUGGUUCCGCGAGAUCGAGUUCUUCAACUUCUCCACCAACACCUGCCAGCCCGACCAGAUGUGCGGCCACUACACGCAGGCGAUGCUCAGCGUGGUAGCAGGGGACCCUCAGCCAGUCCAGACAGGAAGCCCCCCAACCCUGGGGCGGUCGGCAGACCUGACAGCAAAACCCUGCCUCGGUUCCAGCAGCUCCCGGGUAGGCUGGAGCUACAAAUCAGGGGGUGCUUCUGGCCUCAGCCCAUGGCAACGCACAGGGGUCGGUUUGACUUUAGACUUUAUACUUAAGACGACACAACCCCCACACCCAGAAACAAGCCGAGCAAGCUGCUGCUUUGCGUAGGAUUUUGGAGGUAGGGGGUGGGAUUGAACUUCCCAAAUGGCUCCUCUGUUCCCUUCCUUGGACUUUUUCUGGUUGCCACGUCUGCCAUUUGAGAUUAAUUCCUUUGACUAUACGCUUUCUUUAAAAUCCAAGGACCUCUAGGAAGAGCCCACAAGAAUUCAGGAGGGUGUAUCAGCCAUGGAAGCGAGGGCAGGUGGUGAGGGGGAGAGCAGCCUGGAGAAACGACGGGUGUGGGGGGCCGAGCUCCGAGCCGGCCCUCGGGAGGCGGGGACGGGGAGGCGCGGGCAGGGGCCGACCGUGGCGUGCGCUCCCGCAGGUGGUCUGGGCGGACAGCAGGCUGGUGGGCUGCGGCGUGCACUUCUGUGACUUCAUGCACGGCAUCGACGAGCGCGACAUGCUGAUGGUGGUCUGCAACUACCAGCCGCCGUGAGGACGGGGCCUGCGGGCGGGGGCGGCGGGGGCCGAGCCAGGCGGGGCGCCGGGGUCCGUGUCCGGGG
rnacentral:lncRNA from 1 species